rnacentral:lncRNA from 1 species
AACACUUAUGUCAUAUACAACACCAGGCCUUGGAAACAGAAGGGAGUCAUUCUGCCCAGGCUUCUACAAGAAGAAGCUUAGGAUGUGAUCACACAGGGGAAAACAGAUCAUAUUUUGGACUACUUGAGGAGCAAUCCAGUGCGAUAUAUUUCUUACUGAUCACACAACCUAUGGGGAAUUUUGAAAAUUCAGUCUUUCUUUUUCUGGUUUCCAAGAUGCUGGAUCUAUCAUACAAUAAUGGUGUCGGGAGGGGGCCUCUGAGGCCAUCAAGGCCAGCCCUCUGCUCAAGGCAGGGAUCAAAAGCAAAACAGAUCUGACAGAUGAUAGUCUAAUUUUCUCUUAAAAGCUCCAGCAUUGGAGUGCUCACCGCUUCCCAAGGCCAUCAGUUCCAUUGUCGUACUUGCUCUGUUAGGACAUUUUUCUUAAUAUUCAGCCUAAAAUCUAAUCUGGCUUUCUGUAGGUUGGACCGAUCAUUACGUAUCCUGUACUGAGAACAGAUCCUGACCUGAUUCUUCAUGACUAUCUUUUAAGCACUUCCUAAAAAAAGAGUGCUUUCCUAGCUCCCCUCCGUUUUCUUUUCUCAAUGAAUUAGUAGAAUGGAGAAUGACAGCUCAGCAGAAGCAAUCCCCUUUCAGACUAUGAAACGAGGUAAACGGAUUAGUGGAGAUGUGUCCAGAAGAAUCAGCAAUGGAGAGAAGAGCUAUGCAACUCCUCCCAUAGUUGGUGAUAUAUGCUGUCACGUGGUUUCUCGCUCACACUGACUCUAUGACGUCAUGACCUCGAAUGUAUCCUAAGGAGUGGAAUUUGCUGAUACUUAAGAUCGUGCCGUUUUACACAAGAGUUGACCCGAGCACCUUCUCACGGUCACCAGCCUCCGAUGCCAGCUUUUUUUCCAGAUCUGACGAAGAUCUGAAUGUGACUUUUUGGGUUCCUCUAACUUUAAAGAAGAAAGGUGGGGGAACAAAUGUUAUGAGAAUCAUUAAUCUGUAAUAAUUAGUCUCAGCUCUGCUCCCUAGGGGGUGCUAUUUCCAAAUGAAAAAAAAACCUUCAGCCUAUUAUCACAUGCCUGUUAUCAAUCUGGACAAGAAGGCUGAAUGAACUUCUGCGCAUAAUAUUAAGGUAUAAAAUAAACACACAUUUUCUUUUCUGGCA